rnacentral:rRNA from 1 species
AUCGGCGUGGUUAGCAGAACGAGCUGGAAAGCUCAGCCGGAGACUGUGAUAGCCAGGUAUGCGAAAACGACGCUGACCUUAUUCUGUAUUCUCGAGUAGGUCGGGGCACGAGAAACCCUGAUUGAAUCCGGCUGGACCACCAGCCAAGGCUAAAUAUAGUAUAUGAUCGAUAGUGAACUAGUACGGUGACGGAAAGGUGAAAAGAACCCCGGGAGGGGAGUGAAAUAGAACCUGAAAUUUUGUGCCUACAAGGAGUCGGAGCCCAGCACCUUUGAAAUCGAGUGGUACAAUGUAGACAGAUGUUCUACGUGUACGUUUUGCAAAGUGAUCGGGAAUCAGAUCAAAUUUACUUCGGUCAGACUAGUGACUUAAGACGACGUCUCUCGGAGCAUAAUUCUGGCAAGGAUACUUAUACCAAGAUAUAUGCGCCAUGGAAGGUUGUCUAUUAUGAAGCCUAUUCAUCACGUAAGCUAGCAAUGGCCCGUGAGAGGCAGUUGAAAGCUUAUGGACAAGCCAGGACUGCUCUAAAGAAGAGACUAAAUUUGAUCUGAUACUCGAUUUCAAAGGUGCUGGGUGACGGCGUGCUUUUUGUAGAACGAUCCAGCGAGUUAAUUUUUACGGCGAGGUUAAGUCAGAUGAUGAAGCCAUAGUGAAAGCGAGCAUUAACAGUGCGAUUUAGUCGUAAGGAUUAGACCCGAAACCAGGUGACCUAACCAUGAGCAGGUUGAAGCAACCUUAAUCGGUUGUGGAGGACCGAACCAGUGUAUAUUGCAAAAUGCUUGGAUGACUUGUGGUUAGCGGUGAAAUGCCAAUCGAACUUGGAGAUAGCUGGUUCUCCGCGAAAUAGUUAUAGGACUAGCGUCGUGUGAUAGCUUACGGGGGUAGAGCUCUGUCAAGAGAUAGGGGGAGCAAUCCUACCUACUCUUAAUAAACUACGAAUACCGUAUGUCUGUAUCACGGCAGUUAGAACGUCGGUGCUAAGAUCGGCGCUCAAAAGGGAAACAGCCCAGACCAUCAUCUAAGGUCCCCAAAUUUACGCUAAGUGGGAAACAAGGUGGAAUUUCUUAAACAGCUAGGAUGUUGGCUUAGAAGCAGCCAUUCAUUUAAAGAGUGCGUAACAGCUCACUAGUCAAGAGAUUUUGCGUGGAAAAUGUAACGGGGCUAAAGUGUUAAACCGAAGACAUGGACUUCUGCCUAUGCAGGAGUGGUAGAGGAGCGUUGAUAUCGCAGUGAAGUCAGAUUGGAAAGUCUGGUGGAGCGUUAUCAAGUGAGAAUGCUGGAAUUAGUAACCUUAAGACAGGUGAGAAUCCUGUCGGUCGUAAGAGCAAGGUUUCCAGGGCUACAGUAAUUGCCCCUGGGUUAGUCGGUCCUAAGCCGAGGCGUAUCAGCGUAGGCGAUGGACAACAGGUUAAUAUUCCUGUACAGGUAGUAGUUGUGAACAGUUCACGGUGAAUGACUGGAGCGGAUUAAUGGUUUAUCCGUCCAAGUCUUUAGGGAACUAAAGAUGAGUGAAAGGUAAUCUUCGGAUUAUUGAUUCUGGGUGAAGCACUGGCUAGAAAAGCUGGUUCACUUAUGCUGCUGCCUACCGUACCGCAAACCAACACCGGUGCUCGGGUCGAGUAGACCAAGACCUACGUGAGAACCUUCGCUAAGGAACUCGGCAAAAAAGCGUCCGUAACUUCGGAAUAAGGACUGCCCUCUCAUUAAGAUGAGGAUUUGCUAGAAACUCAGCAGAAGAUUCAGAUUACCUUUUAACUGAAUUUUUCGUUGAGACAGAACACAAAACAGGAUUUGUUUAACAAAUUCGUGUCUUUCCUAGUAGUCUAAUCGUCAUUUUGAUGAGAGGGCCGCAGCUAAAGAGCCCACGGAACUGUUUACCAAAAACAUAGGUCUCUGCUAACGCGAAAGCGGAUGUAUAGGGGCUGACUCCUGCCCGGUGUCGGAAGGUUAAGGGGAGAGCUUUACGGUUCGAACUGAAGCCCCGAUGAACGGCGGCGAUAACUAUGAUCGUCCUAAGGUAGCGAAAUUCCUUGUCUGGUAAGUUCAGACCCGCACGAAUGGAGUAAUCAUGUGGGCACUGUCUCGGCGAAGGCCACGGUGAACGUGCAUUGGCGGUAAAGAUGCCGUCUGAUCAUGCCAGGACGAGAAGACCCCAUGGAGCUUUACUACAACUUUGCAUUGAUUAUUGGGACAUUUUGUGUAGAAUAGGUGGAAGACUUUGAAGCAGAUACGCUAGUAUUUGUGGAGUCGAAAUGUGAAAUACCACCCUGAAUGUUUUAGUAAUCUCACUUUUGACCUGAUCGGCCAAAAGGACCGUGCAUGGCGGGUAGUUUAACUGGGGCGGUUGCCUCCUAAAGAGUAGCGGAGGCGUUCAAAGGU